GAAAUGCGAUAAGUAAUGUGAAUUGCAGAAUUCUGUGAAUCAUCGAAUCUUUGAACGCACAUUGCGCCCGCCAGUAUUCUGGCGGGCAUGCCUGUUCGAGCGUCAUUACAACCCUCAGGCCCCCGGGCCUGGCGUUGGGGAUCGGCGGAAGCCCCCUGCGGGCACAACGCCGUCCCCCAAAUACAGUGGCGGUCCCGCCGCAGCUUCCAUUGCGUAGUAGCUAACACCUCGCAACUGGAGAGCGGCGCGACCACGCCGUAAAACACCCAACUUCUGAAUGUUGACCUCGAAUCAGGUAGGAAUACCCGCUGAACUUAAGC
rnacentral:misc_RNA from 1 species